rnacentral:pre_miRNA from 1 species
GUGUAUUCGACUGUAUUCAUGGCGUGAAACAGGGGAUUACACUGUUUUAAACGAAAAGUGAAUCAAUUAUGUCAC